GUAUUCACUUUCCUAGUUUGAAAUGGAACAAUACCUUUUUACAAAUUAAGCUUAUUCUGUAGAAGAUGGGCACAGAAAAAUAAAUUAAAUUUCUAUCUAACACCGCGACUUAACGCCGCAAUCUACCUUUGCUUGAUGUGCUAUUCUAUCUGAUAACAAGUCUGACAUAAUAUUCACAAAGAGAGAAAGAAUAUGACUGCUGAUAUAAUUUGGUUUGAAAUUUUAACGAUUUGAGAAGAAAUGUAACUGAUGUAUUCAUUCCACCAUUGAUGCCGUGAUUUGAUGCAGUACUCUACCUUUAACUUGAUGUGCAGGCUCUCCUUUUUUAUUUGAUGAAAUCAUUGUAACUUGGUCUGUUAUAUGCUUCAACUCUUUUUCAAUCUUUUUUACUUGAUUCUUCAGCAAUAUUAAUUGAUUCAAAUGUACUGUUCGAUAUAGAUUCUCUAUUAGACUGGUAUUGUUCUCUUGGUAUGUUUUUUUUCCUUCUUUUAAAUUGAACUUGGUAGUGCUCAAAUCUUCAUUUUUUACUCUUUUACAUUCACAUAUUUUGCAGGCUGGUCUUUUUGUAUAUGACAUUUUCUGGGUUUUCUUCACUCAUGUGAUGGUUAGCGUUGCGAAAUCAUUUGAUGCUCUUUGCUGAGUGCAACGGAAAUAUUUCUUUUGUUCCCCACAGCAGAUUCUGCAAGGCUAUUUUCAAUGCUUGGACUUGGUGAUAUUGUUAUCCCAGCUGAGAGGAGGGUCGUUCCAGGUUCAGGUGGUGAAGAAUUCAAGUUUGCUUCCUUCAUGGCCGUGACCCUCAGCUGUGAUCAUCGUGUUAUAGAUGGGGCGAUUGGUGCCGAAUGGUUGAAAGCAUUCAAAGGCUGUAUUGAGAAUCCAUAAACCAUGUUGUUGUAAGUAGAAGGCUCUGAUGAAGUACUCAAUUCCUUUUUUCGAGUGAUAUUGUAUGCGGGACAUAAGAUUUGAUCACCGGGUUACCCAUUUGGGUUUGGUUGAUUGUAUCCCUGACCAAUUUUUUAUUUAAGUAUUUACUCUCUUACAA